rnacentral:tRNA from 1 species
GCUUGCGUAGUUCAAUGGAUAGAAUAUCAGAUUCCGGUUCUGACGAUGUGGGUUCGACUCCCGCCGCGAGCACAA